rnacentral:rRNA from 1 species
CCCUUAGACGUUCUGGGCCGCACGCGCGCUACACUGACCAGUGCAACAAGCAUCCGUCCUUGGCCGACAGGCCCGGGCAAUCUUUGAACGCUGGUCGUGAUGGGGAUAGACUUUUGCAAUUUUUGGUCUUCAACGAGGAAUUCCUAGUAAACGCAAGUCAUCAACUUGCGUUGAUUACGUCCCUGCCCUUUGUACACACCGCCCGUCGCACCUACCGAUUGAAUGGUCCGGUGAAGCCUCCGGAUUGGCGCGCACCUCGGUGCCGCCGAGAAGUUGGCUAAACCUUACCAUUUAGAGGAAGGUGAAGUCGUANCA